CUACGGAGGGUGCAAGCGUUACUCGGAAUCACUGGGCGUAAAGCGCGCGCACGCGGCCAUUUAAGUUGGAUGUGAAAGCCUACGGCUCAACCGUAGAACUGCAUCCAAAACUAUUUGGCUAGAGUGUGGGAGAGGAAGAUGGAAUUAGUUGUGUAGGGGUAAAAUCCGUAGAGAUAACUAGGAAUACCAAAAGCGAAGGCAAUCUUCUGGAACAUUACUGACGCUGAGGCGCGAAAGCGUGGGGAGCAAACAGGAUUAGAAACCCUGGUAGUCC
rnacentral:rRNA from 1 species